rnacentral:rRNA from 1 species
UACGUAGGGGGCAAGCGUUGUCCGGAUUUAUUGGGUUUAAAGGGUGCGUAGGCGGUCUUCUAAGUCAGUUGUGAAAUACUUCAGCUUAACUGGAGAGGUGCAAUUGAUACUGGAAGACUUGAGUACUGAUGAGGUAGGCGGAAUGGACGGUGUAGCGGUGAAAUGCUUAGAUAUCGUCCAGAACACCGAUAGCGAAGGCAGCUUACUAAGGAGUAACUGACGCUGAGGCACGAAAGUGUGGGGAUCAAACAGG